rnacentral:lncRNA from 10 species
UCUGUAUAAAGCUUAAUAAAGUCCAGCUAUAAUGGUGGAAACCAAGGAACUGGCUGGGAUGAUUUAAAUGUCCUUUAUUUUUAGGGCUUAGAUUACAUGAGGAUAUGCAUUUGCCAAAACCCAUCAAACUAGACACUUACAUCUAUAUUUUAUUAUUUUCACAUUACUUGCAAAUAAAAACAAUUUGGAAAAAGUGAUAAAACAACUAAA